ensembl:lncRNA
GUGUGUGUGGGUGUACAUGGUGCUGCAGGUUUGUAUAGCCUUUGGGGCAAUACCCAAGCUUUGAGUUCUUUGCCUGUUUUCAUGGCUCGUGACUCUAAUAAACUUUGUACCUGUCUGGGGAAGUAAUCCCCCCCCCCCUCCUUCUUCCUAGUCCUCACAGGAACACCACAGUGCUAGAGACGGACACGAGGCUGGACGCACAGUCUUUGUCCGUCUGUCUGUCUGUCGUCUACAGUUCAGAGCCACUUAUUUGUUUGGGGGUUCCUCAACUGGGAAGUUUGUUUGUUUGUUUGUUUGUUUUUCCUUCAGUUACUGUACCAGUAUGGAAGACUACCCGUAUAAGCUGAAACAAUAUGAGAUUCUCUCUUUCUCUCACACUCACCCUCAUCCUCAUCAUUCUAAUUAGUUCUUACUGAUGAUGAAAUAUAGCUAUAUACUAUUUUUUAUUUUUUUUAAUUUUUGGCUGAUGAGUCUUUGUAAGAAUCUACCUGCAAGAAAACCAUGCGCAAUCCAAAGAUAUUUUUUCAGUGCUUUGAAAAUGUUUGACAUUGACUGUAAUUUGUAUCUAGGUGCUUGUGUGCGCACGAGUGUUAGGGUACAUAUCUGAUGAAUAUAUUGCUUUCAUUUUAUGAUUUUGUACCAUUUAUGGUUUGCAUAUUCUUGUAACUGUGUGGCCAGUGGCUCAACUAUGAGCAGAGUGUGGUUGCAAUGGGACAUCUUACAAAGGUUUUUACCAUUUUAAAAGCUCAGUUGAGUGUGAGGAGAACAGAAUGGGAGGGGGGGACUCUUAAAACAUAUCAGUUAUUUACUCAGAUCUUUUGUGGUUUUCUUCUUUCAGGAAACAUUUUUUUUUUGUCUAUCUUAAUGGCUUGAAUGACUAUGAUGAAGUAUAUUUUACAAUGAGGAAUCCGGAUCCCACACACACACACUUUCUCUACAGUUUUUACCGUCAUUCUGGAAAGAAGGUGUUCUUUAACUUAAGUAGAACAAUGAGAAAAUAUGCCGUCAUUUUACAUGACCUGAAUUACAAUGCCCUUUUUUUCUGUCUCUUGAUGUUCAUAUUGAUGUAAAUACAAAUUUCUAUUUAAGCGUG